rnacentral:rRNA from 1 species
AUGGCGGAAGAGCACCGUGUUGGGGUGCACCCCGGCGAAGCCUUCGCAUUGGUGCGCGAAAAGGGCCAUGCACGCCACCGCAUUCGGGGUAAAAUCCAAGAGGCGGAAGCCGAAGGUGUGCAUGAUGUCGCUGAAGAAAUUGGAGAAGGGAGGACAGAGCCCGUAGGAAAAAUAAUCGACAAAGAAGGGGUACCGAUUUGGGGCAGCCUCGGCGCAGUCGGCGGGGAUGACACGCGUGGCCGGAUGCCCCAACUUCUCUCCCCCGUCUUCACCCCCCACAAAGGCCUGAAGGAUUCCCGAAGCUCGAGCACAUCGACCAUCGAGGGGAAGAAGGGGGACCGCAUCCGCUGUACUGCCGGCGCACUCUCCGGCGGCUCCGCCGCUUUGGCGUCCUUGGCCACUCCCUUGCCCUUGGUGGAUUUUGGCGCCAUGGCGGCUGGGGGAGGGGGGCAAGACAGAGGACGACGGGAACACAACGGCGGCGAGCAAGGGCGAGGCUUAGGGAAGAGGAGGAAGACGAGCGGAGGCUUCCGAGAUUGGGGUUGCGCGAAGGGUAAAAGGAACAGUGCGCCCGCAGUUAUCCAUUUUUAUGGGGAAGGUGCGGGUCGCGCUGCCCAUUUACUGCGACGUGACGCAUGCGUGCGGGAACCGCCCAACGCAUGCCACCCACGUCACGUGCACCCCUCCACGCCAUGUCGCGCCAUGCGCGCGGGUCGUGGGAAGCGCAGCGCGCGAAAAGUCUUACCGCGGUUAAAACCGCCCCGCCUGCCCGCACACCGUUUUGGGCCUGGCCCAACAACGUGUCGCGCUUAUGUGUGGCCCAGGCCCGGGGGCUCCUGUCGGUGUACAAAAGGAGGGGCGCACUUUUGUACCCCUUUACGUGUGCACGGGCAGUCGGAGCCAUGCCCACGAUCACACCAAGUAGAACAGGGGAGGUGA